AGCUGUAAAAAAUCCAACUUGCAAAUUGCUAACUCAAAUCAAAAUUGUAAGUUGGGUGGACAUAUUUUGAGCUCAGUGUUGAGUUUACUUUUAAAAAUGAGUUAACUGAAGGUUUAAAACUGGUUUGUUCAAUGAAAGUAAAUACUUAAGUUGAGCAGACUUUACAUUUUGAGUUCUUCACUGGAUCAUCUACUUCCCGUCUUUGCACAUGCUCAGUCUGUCUUCGGGUGCCAUUUUGCACGAGGUGUCCUCUCACCAGCAGCAGCUGCCAUCUCCUGAUUCAGGUUUGGAAUGCAGUGUAAGUUUUGCAAAUUUGUAAACAGUAGCUGAGAAGUUACACUACAGACUACAUCGCUAUCAAGGAGCAUCCUGGCAGCAGCCUUGUUUGUUCGCAGACUGCUUCUGCACUUUAAAGACUCUGAUGUCCGAAAACAGUGGCCUGCAUGUUUUUGGGAGUUUAGGCAAGUUUGCAUUUGAGAUUAUUUAUUUCAAAAUGUAUAACCCUUGUUCACAAUUCAUACUAUUCAUUUUUUUAUGGUCUGUUUGUAGGUCUAUGCUGAGGUUUACAGGAUUACUCAAACCAACCUCAAAGAUACCUUCUCUUUUUCGGAUGAAUACGCUAUCAAGUUUUAUGGAUCAUGUGGUGGGCGAUAUGGAGAGAUAAUAAGGACCGCCCUGGACCAACUGGACAAUCAAGACACAGAGCCAGAAGAUAUUUGCACAAAAGAGAUGGAGAUGGACAUCCUUAGCACUGUUGAAGAUGAUGUUGCCACUCUUCAGACCAACCUAAAUGUAAGGUGCCUGUCUGUGGUUCUGGAAGAGCAAAUCGUGCUGGAAAAGAUCUUCCGACAGCUGUUGUUCUCCUCUUUGGUUUGAUUAAUUUCCUCAUUAUGAACUACCCCAAAGAACUGAAACACAUCUUUGAAACUAUUCAGAAAGUGUUUAUUGGCCUUGAUCCUCAGUGCUCAGCAAGAGUCCAGUCUUUCAAAAACAAAAUGCAUUUGUUUGUACACUGAAAUUGUGUUACUCUUGGUGUUGUCACGAAACUUAAAUUCAGUUUUGAUUUUACAUUUUCAAAUUUUAAAAACAUCCAUUUCCCACCAAUUGAUAGAUUGGCUGUUGUGUUCAAGAGCUCAACAUAAAUGACUGUGAUUGGCUGAGAAGUUCACCAUUUCACUGCUCUUCACUGAUGUUCAUGGAGUGCAAACACAGAUACACACACACACACACACACACACACACACACACAAACUGGAGUGUUUCAAAACGUCGCAUAGUUGAUCCAUCAGCGUAACACUUGUGUCAGCUUAUACACAGACCAGUUGAUCAAUGUGAAAUUCUUAAGUGUCCCUGUGUCUGUGGUUACACUCAGUAAACAGCAGUGAGUUUGGUGAACUGAUGAUCUUCACGCCCAAUCAGUCUUUUCUGUUGAGCAUGUGAACACAAUGGCAAUAUAACAGUGUUUAAAACAUGGUCAACAACGCUCAAAUGUUAGCAGGAAAUGGACGUUUUUAAAAUUAUAGAACUGAUGGGUAACAAAAUUAAAAUAUCGUGACAAAACUAAUUACUCUUUGUUACGAUAACCAGCGAUCAUUCUCUGGAGAUCGCUGGUUUCCUCUAUCAUCAUUCACUUCACUUCCCCAUUCCCUAGGACUACAUUUUCAUACAUGCACUUCUCCCAAUCACGCACGCCUGGUCAUUCAUCUUCCUGAUUACAUCACCAGCUGAAACCUGUCACA